CCUACGGGAGGCAGCAGUGGGGGAUAUUGCACAAUGGGGGGAACCCUGAUGCAGCGACGCCGCGUGAAGGAAGAAGUAUCUCGGUAUGUAAACUUCUAUCAGCAGGGAAGAAAAUGACGGUACCUGACUAAGAAGCCCCGGCUAACUACGUGCCAGCAGCCGCGGUAAUACGUAGGGGGCAAGCGUUAUCCGGAUUUACUGGGUGUAAAGGGAGCGUAGGCGGCAGUGCAAGUCAGAAGGGAAAGCACGGGGCUCAACUCCGGGACUGCUUUUGAAACUGUACAGCUUGAGUGCAGGAGAGGCAAGUGGAAUUCGUGGUGUAGCGGUGAAAUGCGUAGAUAUUAGGAGGAACACCAGUGGCGAAGGCGGCUUGCUGGACUGUAAAUGACGCUGAGGCUCGAAAGCGUGGGGAGCAAACAGGAUUAGAUACCCGAGUAGUC
rnacentral:rRNA from 1 species